UCGAGGGGUAUUGUUCUUCGGAAUGAGAGACCGGCGCACGGGUGCGUAACGCGUAUGCAAUCUACCUUUUGCAGAGGGAUAGCCCAGAGAAAUUUGGAUUAAUACCUCAUAGUAUGUGAGAAUGGCAUCAUUUUCACAUUAAAGUCACAACGGCAAAAGAUGAGCAUGCGUCCCAUUAGCUAGUUGGUAAGGUAACGGCUUACCAAGGCUACGAUGGGUAGGGGUCCUGAGAGGGAGAUCCCCCACACUGGUACUGAGACACGGACCAGACUCCUACGGGAGGCAGCAGUGAGGAAUAUUGGACAAUGGGCGCAAGCCUGAUCCAGCCAUGCCGCGUGCAGGAUGACGGUCCUAUGGAUUGUAAACUGCUUUUGCACAGGAAGAAACAACUCUACGUGUAGAGUCUUGACGGUACUGUGAGAAUAAGGAUCGGCUAACUCCGUGCCAGCAGCCGCGGUAAUACGGAGGAUCCAAGCGUUAUCCGGAAUCAUUGGGUUUAAAGGGUCCGUAGGCGGUUUAGUAAGUCAGUGGUGAAAGCCCAUCGCUCAACGGUGGAACGGCCAUUGAUACUGCUAGACUUGAAUUAUUAGGAAGUAACUAGAAUAUGUAGUGUAGCGGUGAAAUGCUUAGAGAUUACAUGGAAUACCAAUUGCGAAGGCAGGUUACUACUAAUGGAUUGACGCUGAUGGACGAAAGCGUGGGUAGCGA
rnacentral:rRNA from 1 species